rnacentral:rRNA from 1 species
AAGUUGUUGCAGUUAAAAAGCUCGUAGUUGGACUUUGGGAUGGGCCGGACGGUUCUCCCUAAGUGAGCACCGGUCGUCUCGUCCCUUCUGUCGGCGAUGCGCUCCUGGCCUUAAUUGGCCGGGUCGUGCCUCCGGCGCUGUUACUUUGAAGAAAUUAGAGUGCUCAAAGCAAGCCUACGCUCUGUAUACAUUAGCAUGGGAUAACAUUAUAGGAUUUUGGUCCUAUUACGUUGGCCUUCUGGAUUAGCGUAAUGAUUAACAGGUACAGUUGGGGGCAUUCGUAUUUCAUAGUCAAAGGUGAAAUUCUUGGAUUUAUGAAACACGAACAACUGCGAAAGCAUUUGCCAAGGAUGUUUUCAUUAAUCAAGAACGAAAGUUGGGGUCUCGAACACGAUCAGAUACCAUCCUAGUCUCAACCAUAACGAUGGCGACCAGGGAUCAUCGGAUGUUGCUUUUAGGACUCCGCCGGCACCUUAUGAGAAAUCAAAGUUUUUGGGUUCUG